rnacentral:rRNA from 1 species
UACGUAGGGACCGAGCGUUGUCCGGAUUCAUUGGGCGUAAAGAGCUCGUAGGCGGCUGCUCAAGUCGAAUGUGAAAACUCGAGGCUCAACCUCGAGCCUGCAUUCGAUACUGGGCGGCUAGAGUCUGGUAGGGGGAUCUGGAAUUCCUGGUGUAGCGGUGGAAUGCGCAGAUAUCAGGAGGAACACCGGUGGCGAAGGCGGGAUCCUGGGCCAGUACUGACGCUGAGGCGCGACAGCGUGGGGAGCAAACAGG